UUCAGCGUCGGUGUAAGGCAACACUAUAUUCUUAAAAUACACCUAACUUGAAUCAUGCGCUGUGAUUUGUUUUUUGAGGGGAAAAAAGAAUUUGUGCGUUUGGAUAGAUGAUAGACAGGCUCCCAUCCGCGAAAAUGAAAGUUUUUUUCUUUAUUAAAAAUGAUUCCAAAAGAAAACUUGGGACUGAUUGUGUAUGCUUAUUUUUUUGCCGUUGGAAGGGUUGAUAUCUAAAAGCAGGUAAGCCACUGACUAACGCACAUUGUGCCCGUUGCCAGUUCCACUGUGCGUGUGACAGCGGCUAACCUGGUUUUGGGAAUACCUCUCAUCUUUUGCCUCGUCCAAAAAAAAAAAAAAAAAAAAAAAAAUCAAGACCAGCCACAGCCGGACCAGACAGACACCUAUCUACAAGAACAUAUCCUGUGCACAUUGCUGGGACAGGCCUGCUCAACAUGACUACCCUCCCAGUGGUCUCCAUGUGUACUGUAGCCUACUUCCUCCUAUGUUCACAUACUGUACUUUAUUUAGGGCCAGUAGCUUUUUGCAUUGACUCCUAUAGAGCCGACCUCUCUAAUGCCACCUACUGUCAAGACUUUUGGUGAGUGUUUUCUUUCAGUUUCUGUUUCAUCUGAGUGGUUCAGACAAGAUAAUCAUCCUCAUGAACACUAGUUUCCAAUUUGAGGUCAGGGGCCCUCCGAGGGUUCUUGAAGAGGUUCCAGGGGGCCCUUCUUGCAAAAUGAGCAUUGCUAUAAUGACACUGAAGUUGGUUUUUAGAACAAAAUGGAUGUAGAGAAUAAUAUAGUUGUAUUUCCACCCCUUUACACUAAAUCAAUCUUUACACGAAAUCCAAAUCAGUCCGUUAUAAUAUGUAUCUCUAUACAGUAUGUAUAUACAAUGUAUGUUUGUAAAAAAAAGUAUCCCUUAAAUGAGAAGUAAAGUUUUUACUCUAAUGAA